GGCUCCGGAGCUCGGCGGUGCGGCCUUCCCCGCCCCCUCCUCCCUCCUCCCCCGCCCGCUUCCGCCCGGCUUAUUAUCCUCCUUAUUGACAAACAGAGCGGCCGCGGCGGCGACUCUCCGCGUGCAUCUGUAGCCAAGCCAUGGGAGACAAGAAGAGCCCCACCAGGCCGAAGCGGCAGCCGAAGCCGUCCUCGGAUGAGGGUUACUGGGACUGUAGCGUCUGCACCUUCCGGAACAGCGCCGAGGCCUUCAAGUGCAUGAUGUGCGAUGUGCGGAAGGGCACCUCCACCCGGGACAGCAAGGAAGGGGGGAAGCUGUUGUCCUACUCCACAGCCAGUCUUGGGGUUAGAGGAACCCUGAGAAAUAGAGUAGGUGGUGGCAGCUCAGAAGAGAAGAAACAGGCUGAAUACCUGGCACCUGGAAGAAGAAGGAAUAUAGUGCACAGGGGAGUUGGCCCAGGACAGAGAAGUGGGCCUAGUUUAAAAGAGGCUUGAGGCCCACAAGGGGGCCCCUGAUAUUUUUUACCAGUACAUCUGAGCUCUUGUAGAUCCAAUUUUUAGUGGUGGAAACAUUACUUGAGGAGGACUCAGAGAAGCAUUGUCAUUUGGAUUGAAACUGAAGAGGCUCUGGGCAACUCACCAGAAGUCUAAGGGACACUCUGUUCCUAAAAGCACAGGGCAAACAGCAGUGAACCAGAUGAAACAGGAAAAUGUCCCCGUUUGUAAUUAUGGGGGUGAUAGCGAGCUUAUAUUCCUUUCUGGUAGAGGAAGACAGGCAAUAAGCUAAUAAUAUAUAACAUGGUAAGUAGAAACAAGUGCUUUGAAGAAAAGAAAGCAUACGGAGAGAGACAGAGUGAUGGGCAGAGUGGGGAGCAGAGUUGGAGGGGAGAGUGUUAUUUUAUUUCAGGUUAGGAAAGACUUAACUGACAGCUGGCAUUUGAGCAGAGACCUGGAAGAAGUGAGGGAGUGAAUAGGCAGAGGGGAAUAAUAAGUAGGGGAAAUCCUCAGGCAGGAGUAGAAGGCCAUUGAGGUUGGAUAUUAUGGACUAAAUUGUGUCCCCUCCCCCUAAAUUUAUAUGUUGAAGUCUUAAUCCCCAGUAUGCUAUAUUUGGAGAUAGGGCUUUUAGGAGGUAAAUCAGGUUAAAUGAGGUCAUAAAGAUUGGUGAAAGGUGUGAUAGAAUUAGUGGCUUUUUAUAAGAAGAGGAAAAGGGUGAUCUCUGUCUUUCUCUACUAUGUGAGGAUACAGUGAGAAAGAGGCUCUCUGCGAACCAGAAGGAAAGCACUCACCAGAAGCCAUACCCUGCUGGGCCUUGAUUUUGGACUUUGUAGCCUCCAGAACUGUGAGAAAAUAAAUUUCUGUUGUUUAAGCCACACGGUCUACAAUAUUUGUUGUGGCACCCCAAGCCAACUGAGACACAGGAAUAGAGGUUUCUGGAGGGGAGAUUAAAGAAGAUGAGGUGGAGAGAGAGACUGAAUCAUGUAGGGUUUCAGACUAGAGCAAGAAUUUUGGAUUUUAUUUUCAAUUGCCAUAUACUCUGUUUGCCAGAGUGUAACAAGGGGGAAGGGGUUUAGAUGGGGAAGAGGAACCCAAUGAAUGGUUUUAAGCAGAGGAGUGAUACAAUUUGAAUGAUAUAAUUUGAUUUAUAUCUGGAAUGAUCACCUGGCUGCUUUGUGAGAGAAUAGUCUAUAGCAAAGCAGUUGAAGAAUCAGGGGCAAGUGGCAAUACAAGGGUGGCAUCAGUGGGGUUGGUGAGAAAUCCAAUUCUUGAUCUAUUUUAAAGGUAGAGUGGAAAGCAUUUGCUGGUAAAUUAGAUGUGAGUGUGAGAGAAAGUGGAGAAUGAAGACUGCUACCAUGUGUUUGGUCUGAGCAACUGGAAAAAUGGAGUUUAUUUACCAAGAUAGGAAGACUGUGAGAGACUGGAAGAGUGGAAGAAGGAACGAAUCAGAAGUAGUUUUGAAUAAGCUAAGUUAUUUUGAGUUGCUACUAGACAUUGAAGUGAAGAUGUUAAAUAGGCAGUUGGUUAUGUAAGUCUAGGGUUUAGGGGAGACAUUGGGGUUGGUGAUACAGAUUUUGGAGUUGUAUAGAUCAGUUCUCAACCUUGGAUGCAUUGAUUUAUCUCAGGAUUGGGGCAUUUUUUAAUUUGAUUACCAGUUAGGUUAAACAUUUUUAAAAACCGCUUUUAUUGAGGUAUAACUGACAUACAGUAUACUGCACACAAUUAAAGUGUACGAUAUGAUAAGUUUUGACAUAUGAAUAUACUUGUGAAACCAUCACCACAGUUAAGAUAGUGAACAUAUCCAUCAUCACCAGAAAUUUCUUUGUACCCCUUUUUAAUUCUUCCCUCCUGUGCCUACCUCUUUCCCAUCCUCAGUUGCUAGGCAACUAUUGAUUUGCUUUCUCUAUAGAUUAGUUUGCAUAUUCUAGAAUUUCAUAGAUGGAAUCAUAACAGUGUAUAUAGUCUUCUAUGGCCUCUUUAAGCAUAAUUGUUUUGAUAUUCAGCUGUGUUGUUGAGUGUGUCAGUUCAUUCCUUUCUGUUGAGCAGUAUUUCAUUAUAUGAAUGUACCGUAAUUUCUUUAUUCAUCUCUUGGUGGACAUUUGGUUUGUUUUCAGUUUUUGGCCAUUACAAAUAAAGCUGCUGUGAACAUUCGUAAAGAAGUCUUUGUAUGGAUAUAUAUUUCCUUCUCUGGUUAAAUAUCUUAGGGUGGAAUGGAUCACAAUUUUUUCAUGUUUCAACAUGAGGGGUUUUGUGUGUGUGUGCACGUGUGUGUGUGUGUGUGUGUGUCCUUGGGGAAAGCUCUUAUGCCCAGAAAAGAUUAUUCAGGGACUACUUUGAUUAUUAAAAUUAAUGUUCAAUGUAGUAGUUUCAGUUAAAAAAAAUUUAGUUUUUUCUUAAGUUAUCUGUUCAUUUUUACAAAUCUUAUUCUACUUAUAAAAUUUAACAAUAUUUAACUCUCCCCCCCCCAGGCAUAGUUAUUUUUAAAAAGUAUUGUAAAUUAAUUCUAAUGUGGAGCCUGGGCUGAGAACUAUUGUACAGAUGAUAUUUAAGGCAAGGACUGAAUGAGGUCACCCUGAAUAGCACUUCUUGAGUUUUGUGUGCAUAAAAAAUAUCUGUAGUUCUUGGGCAAGGUCUGCAAAUCUGCAUCUAUACUAGUCUCCUCAGUGCUGAUACCUUGGUUUGGUUAGUGGACCACACCAUGAGUAGCACUGUCAUUGAGGGUUAACGUAGAUAGAAGAGAUACCUGAAGACUGAGUCCUGAUGCACUCCAAAUUUUAGAAAUUGUAAAAGAAGGAAAAGAACCAAUAAUUGAGACUGGGAAAGAGUAGCCAGUGAUGCAGGAGAAAAAUUGUGUGGCAUUCUGGAGGCUUGUGAAGAAAGUUUUACCCGAAAUAAAGGAGUGAUAAACUCAGUCAAAUGCAGCUUUUGAAAAGACUGAGCAAGGAAUGAACUACAGUUGACCAGUGGAUAUGGUAAAGUGAUUGUUGGUGAUCUUGAAAGUAAUGGUGUUAGUAAAAUGGUAGGGACAAGAACCUGAUGGAGGUGAGCACGUUCAGAAAAUGGAGGAAAGAGGUGUUGAAAGUGACUAUAGACAAACCAUUUGAUGCUUAUAGUAGAAAGGAGAACAGAGAAAUGGGGCAGUAGCUAAAAAGGUAUGUGGACUUAGGGGAAGAGUUGUUUUUCCUUUUUUUUAAGGUAAGAGCUACUGUUUUGUGUUUGUAUGUUGACAGGGAUAACCUAUUUACAGAAGGAAGUAUCACUGAAGCAGGAAAGAAAGGAGGUCAGUAGCAGGAAUGGUGUCCUGGAGAAGGGAUAAGGGAUAGAGGCAUGGCUGUGAUUGGUAAUACGGAUAGGGAAGUUAGAGGAUAUGGGCAGAGAUAGGAGAUUGUGGAGAUUUCAUCAAAUAACUUCUGUUCUCUCUGAAAUAAGAAUCAAGGUCACCCCGUGAUAACAUGGCACACAGUAAAAGUAAAUUCAGUGCUCGGAACAGUGAUUUGAACAGUUUAAUAAAAAUUUGUUAAAUAAAUGAAUGUAAGGAAGAGUAAUCUUGGAUUGGAGGGGAGAAGACAAAAGUCCAUCAAGUAGAUAAUAUAGAAGGCUGCGGUUGGGUUGGGUGAGAGUGGUAGUCAUGAGAAUGGUAAGGGGAAGCCAUUCCAAUAAUGCGAAAGAAAAAUUGAAAAGACUUGAUAUUUGUUUGCCUGAGGAGAAGGAAAAGUGAGGAGGACCUGUUUGAACUCUAGAGAGUGUCUUUAGUCUUUCAGAUUAAGGGAACUGUGGUGGUGGUUAUUGAUUUGAGGGGUUUGUCAGAUUUAAUUGCUUGAACACUCUAACCUAGUUUUUCUAAAAGCUGAUGUAGUCAUUUAUUUUGUCUCUCCUUACCAAGACCUUCUUAGUAGCUGCCAAAGAAUCAAGUCUCCCCUGCUGCUACUUCCCAGGAGUUUAGUAGGGAAAAAUGUGUUCAGGGUUUUUGCAGAAGUUUGAUGUUGAAAAUUAAAUACAGACCUUAAAGCAAAAACUCUUCUGAAUACUCAGAUUCUUGAAAUGAUGAAGACUAUUGUUCCUUGCAUUUUGUAAGCACACUGAGGCAAGUGACAAGAAGAAAGAGUAUGUAGAACCUGAGGUGUAAAUUUAAGUGGUAUAGUGUGAAUACCUUGUACCAGUGGUUUUUGACUAGUAUUUCUCACAGCCAUACUUCAGGGAUAACUGGGAGGUUGGAGGAUGAGCACUGAGCAGAUGUGGGUUCAGGAGUCUCCACAGCAAUUUAAAAUAGAAGUUAGUUUUUGUUUUUGUUUUAGUUUAAUAUAUUGACAUUCCUUGUAAAAUUUUGUUAGCAUAAUGAUUCUUCUGGAAAAACAAUAACAAAGAAUUUGAGUAUCAUUACUAUCAGUAAUAUUUGAAUUUUGCUGGUAAGUCAAAUAGUGCUAGUAUUAGCAGAGUAGAUUAUUUCAUAUUUUGAAGGUGGAGAAAACCACUUAGUAAGAACUUUUAUUUUUUGAUUUAGUAAUAAAUUUUUAUAGAAAGCAGACAUGUACAUUAAACCCUUCAUUCCAUUUUCAUGAAAAAGAAGUAAAUUGCUCAGAAGAUGACAACAGCAAAUUUUUCAAGAAAGUGAAUUCUCAAAAGUUGGCACCUCAUCAAAUCAGUGUCCAUAUGAUUGUUUAAUAGUUGUAUUUAUUAUGCAUCAUGUUUAACUGGUAUUUUUAAUGAUCAUUAAUAUCGAGAUACAAGAUCUGUACUAGUGCUGGGGAUACAAAAAUAAGUGAGAUUACUGAUCUCUUCUC